AGCGGCAAGACAGGAAGUCCAUAAGAAAGCUGUCCAGACUAUUCCAUCAUCACAUCUCUCUGAAUAAGCUCCAUGAUAUAGUCAGUAUGUCACAAAUCCCUUGUAUUGUGAUGUAUUCCUCGUCUGUGCCUUCUCAAAUCUUUAUCCCGGUGAACUGCGGCUGUAAGUGAAAGCAAAAAGAACUAGGAAACAUUAUGGAUCUAAUAUUUCCUUUCAAAUCAGUAAUAGAUAACUUUUAAAGCCCCAGCAUUCCUAACUUCUGGGCUUUGGAGACUCAAGCUGACAACAACAGAAUUUGACAAAACAUUUCAAAACUAGAAAAAUGAUAGAUGUAAAAUAGGAAGGAAUGUUCCUUGUUAAAAACUCAAAGUACAGACAGAUACGUAUCGAUGACCCUCAACAUUUGGUGCGUGCAAGAACGAGAAGCACCCUCAGGGCCCUGUUCUGGAAUUAUGACCCCUGGACCAGGACAUCAGCAUCAUCUGACCCAGAGAUUGUUAGACCCGCAGAUUCCAAGGCUUGCUCCAGACCUGCUCAGUCUGCAUUUGAACAAGAUUCCCAGAUAGGUUUCAUCUUCAAAGAAACCAUGGAAAAGACCCUGACAAGAGCCCUAGAAUACAGAUCUCUGAUAAUUUAAAGAUCAUAACACAGAGCCAGGAUUUCCUAGAACUGUGCUGAGCACAAGUCAGUUGACAUAGGAGCAUCUGAUAUUCUUCAGCAAGUCUCUUUCCAAGAAGGCUGACAACCUGAAACUGGAAGACUAAUGGUGAUGGUUAGUUUCCUGUGUCCCCGUGGCUGGGCUAAAGGAAGCCCGAGAGCUGGUAAAACAGGUUUCUGGAAGACGACGUCAGCAUGUGACUUGGUAGACAGUAGAGAGGAUCACUCUACCAGAGUGGAAGAGCAUUAUCCAGUCGGUUGAGGGUUUGAAUAAAACAAAAAAGUAGAGGAAGGGGAAAGCCCUUUUUCCCUGAGCUGAGACAUGCAUUUUCUCAGGCCCUCAGACAACGCUGCUUCUGAUUCUUAGGCAUUUGGACUCAGACUGGGAUUUACACCAUCCACGGCCCCAAAUCUUGGGCCUUUGGACUCAGACCGAAUUACACCAUGGACUUUCCUUGUUCUCCGCUGGCAGAUGGCAGAUUGUGUGGAUUCUCCACCUCCACAGGUGCACUGGCCAACACGGCAACCCCUCAAACCCCCUCUCACUCUGUAUAUAUCGAA